GUGCUUUCAUCAACUUCCAUCAUCGUUUGGAAAACAUCUUUUUGACAGUAACUGUACAUGCAUUUAUUGUGUGCAAGUGCAAUAAUGACCCUGGUUAGGGAUAAACGGUUAAGAACAUUAGAUUUGGGGGUAUUGUGAGAAGAGUUUAAAGUUCUCACCUCUGAUUGCUUUGAUAAAAUUGAAAUUGAUAGUCACGGUUGUUUUUUGUGUGCAAAACUUCCAUCUGCCAUAUUUGCUAAAAUAUUUCCCCAUAGAGUGAUCCCUACCUUCUCACAACUGAAAGAAUUUGACCAUGUAAAAGUCAAAAAUAAUUUUAAAAUUGCUUACGUAAUUGAAAUAACUAACUCUAGCAAAAGGUCUUUCAUCUCGCGGAUGUUUGAAGUUUGCUCUCUGUUUGUCCGUUUGUUUUUCUGUAUUUCCUCAAUUGGUUUCAUCAUGGUAAGCAACCCAAUCUAUUGAUCCAUUCAUCCAUGAUCAAUAACAAAUUCAUCAAUGCCAUAUAUAGGAACCGUACAAAUUAUCUAAAUUGGUGCAGUUGAAAUAACUUACUCUAGCAAAAGGACUUGCAUCUCGCGGAUGUUUGAAGUUUGCUCUCUGCUUGCCCAUUUGUUUUUCUAUACUUCCUCAAUUGGUUUCAUCAUGGUAAGCAACCCAAUCCAUUGAUCCAUGAUCAGUAACAAAUUCAUCAAUGGCAUAUACAGGAACCGUGCAAAUUAUCUAAAUUGGUGCAGGUGAUACAUACUGAAGAUAAUUUGAUCUCUAAUUAUGUGCACAUGAUACUUACUGGAGGUUGUGUGAUUGCUCAAUGGAGCCAUUAACAGUCGAGGAGAGUCAACAGAGGAGACUGGGACGCUUGCAACUAUUGGAGGAAGGCGAUGUCCAAGUGCUGAUCACUGGAGGAAGAUAAUGAAGAAGGUGAGCUCUGAAGGUGGGAUCUGACUUGUGGGGCGUGCUGGAACUGACUUGAUGCUAGCUUGUAUGGGUGGUUUCAUCGCCCUGGCACCAUUUAUAACCUGAUUGCCGGAAUUCAUAAAUCACAACAUUACCUUCUCGUGGUAUCGCUUUGCCUCGAUUGCUCGAGGUAGCAGCCACCAGCCUGGUAGAACAAAUCAAUCUAAAGUUCAAUUUUGUUCCCUUGGUGUUUUGGCAGCAAAAUAUCAGAUUAUCUGUUUGUUUCAUCCAUUCAUCCAUUGAUGUAUAAUUAAAAUAGUUACUUUGCACAUAGUUCUUUUCGUUGAUGACAGCUAUGUAAAGAGAUUUUCUCGAAAGAAAAAAAAAUACCAUUUGUAAAGAACUGGAUAUAACGCUCUGAAAAUAUUUAGAAUUGGAAUUAAUCUG
rnacentral:lncRNA from 1 species